rnacentral:tRNA from 1 species
UUGGGGAUUUGGCUCAGUGGUAGAGCGCUUGCCUAGGAAGCACAAGGUCCUGGGUUCGAUCCCCAGCCCCCAAA